AUACGCACAAAGUAGAGCAUCCGACGCUGUAACCGGAUCUCCCACCUAAACGAAAGGCCGCUUAUGCGGCCUUUUU
rnacentral:sRNA from 1 species